CGUUCUCCGGGUUUUUCUCAAUUAUUAACUUUUCGUUUUGAAAAAAAUAAUCAGAGUAUUCCUGCACUAUUUAUAAUAUGCAGUACCAAUUCGGCAGAAAUAUACAGCGCGAUAUGGGAUUUUCUGGGCUCCAAGAUAACUAAACUAAAGAAGAAUUUAAAACGUAUUGUUUGCAAUUACGAAAAUGACUUCAUCAUUGCCACGAAGAAGAAGCUUCCUAAAGUGCAGAUCAGAGGAUCAUGGUUUCAUUUUAUUAAAUUAUGGACUAGACAAUGGAGAAGUCUAAAUUUGUCUAUGGAACCACUGCCAA